GGAAAAAGAGUGCAGUGAUUGUGUUGGGAAGGCUGUGGGACCACCGUUUAAAAAUUAUAUUCCCAACUGGACCAUUAAUGGAGAUGAGGAGGUCAGUCAGUACAGCUCAGCUCAAGAUGAGAGCUUCGACAGCACAUCCCUUCCUAGUAGUGUAAAGGUUACAUAUGCAACUUGGGUUGUUGGAGACUCAGAAAGAUGACACACACCAAUCUCUUAAAAAACACGUCCAAACAAGACCCUCAUGGACCAGUGAGGUUAGUGAAAUGGUGGCCCUAAUGACACGUGGGCGAUUGGGGUCACCCUUGAGUGCUUUUGGCAGCAGUGACAGUGAGGAUGUAGCAGAGCAACAGUUCCACCUACAGGACAGAAAUAGUGUGAAUGGCUACCAGGAAUAUGAGACCCAGGAAAGCACUGAUCUGGAGCAACUAUUCAAGAGUUUUGCCGGUAUUCAGAGUGAAAGUGAGGAGAGCACAAAUUACCACACUAUCAAUCACACUUUUGAUGUGACCAAUGGAGUGCUGGAGGUGACAAGCCAAACUGAGGAUGAGGGCAGUUCAGAUGGUUUGGACUAUACACAGACACAGCAAUCUAGCAUGUUCUACACACCCAAACAUCACCUGUCCAAC
rnacentral:lncRNA from 1 species